GAGGGUAUAGCUCAGAGGUAGAGUGCAUGCUUAGCAUGCAUGAGGUCCUGGGUUCAAUCUCCAGUACCUCCA
rnacentral:tRNA from 1 species